AUACGGAGGGUGCAAGCGUUAAUCGGAAUUACUGGGCGUAAAGAGUACGUAGGUGGUUUGUUAAGUCAGAUGUGAAAGCCCCGGGCUCAACCUGGGAACUGCAUUUGAAACUGGCAAACUAGAGGAUGGUAGAGGGGGGUAGAAUUUCUAGUGUAGCGGUGAAAUGCGUAGAUAUUAGAAGGAAUACCAGUGGCGAAGGCGGCCCCCUGGACCAAUACUGACACUGAGGUACGAAAGCGUGGGUAGCGAACAGGAUUAGAAACCCUAGUAGUCC
rnacentral:rRNA from 1 species